rnacentral:lncRNA from 1 species
CAAGACAUUGAGCCAGCCCCUGGAGACUGGAAAAGGCAAUGAAACAUUCUCCCCAACAACUUCUGGAAGAACCACCUCUGUCCACAUCCUGACCUCAUCCUGUGAACUGAGCACUGCAAAGAUUUCCUUUCCACAGUUCCACCCUCCUGUUCCCUCUGAUGGACCACAGCCCAUAAAACCACCAUCUUGAUGUCACUCUUCCAACAGUUUUGGCCACAUCUCUAUCCACCUUGCAAAAUGACUUCCAGGCCAUGUUCUCUGGCAGCCUCCCCUUCAUCAGAGAAACCUUGCAGCAAGGGAUUGAACUCUGGUCCUUGCACUUGCGCAGCAGGCAGCGAAACCACUGAGCUAAAUCCCUGGUCCUACUUAAGUGAGGCUUUCCAGGAUAGAAGUUGCCUCCCAAGCCUGAGCUCUAAAAUGAGUACAGAUGGUACAGAACUGAACCCAGCCAUCAGAAAGGAGCUGAGCCUGGCCAGUCCUAUAACUUGACACCGAGCCACAGAAAGAAGUUCAACCAAGACCAGCUGAUUUUCAGACAGGACAUACACUCCUGAGUUAAGCUGAUGCUUAUCUUGUAUACCACUGAGAGUUUAUGAUUGUUUGACAUACAUGAUUAUUGUUUAACUAAGUUGACAAGUUAAACUCCCCUGGACAAUGUGCCUCUGUGGCCUUCUCCUAUUGUUUUUUCCUUAAUGCUCUCUACUAGCAACUGCAAGCAUCAUUUUGAGGAUAACAGCCAUGGGAUAGAAAGUUGGAAGGAACCUGGGUCCUGGAUGACAGCAAGGCCACACUUACUGGGGAUCAAAUCCAGGGCCUUGCAUGUUACAGGCAAGUAUUCUACCACAGAGCCAAUUUUCUCACCCUUUUCAUUCCCACUGCUAAAGUUCCCUUCUUGAAGACAUUUCCCCUGUCUUAUUCAAAAUAGCAUAUUCCACCCUGUCACUGUGAUCUUACCCUGCUUUGUAUUUUUCUUGGUGUCAUUCAUCCUCCAUAUAUCUGUUUACUAUCCAUAUUUUCUAUGGACUGUAAGCCAUAUGAGAGUGUAAGGGAGGAAAAGUAGAAUAUUUUCUUUGCCCAUCACAAGGGUCAUGGCUGAGAUGCCCAUUAAAGGUAGAUUAUUAGGACAAAAGCAUAACAAAUGUAUUCAGCCAAAGUUUUAUGUGACAUGGGAAUCUUCAGAAAGGAAGACCCAAAGGCUCAGGACCAACUUGC